AUGUCACAAGGGGUGGGGCGGGCUUUGACACGCCCCCUACCGGACCCUCUAAUCCCGUUUCCCUCGCCCUCUGCCUGCCUCAGGUGGGGGCCCAAACCAUGCUGGGCUGAGGCGCUGUCCGUGGGCGGGGAGCUGAGCGCAGAAACAGGGGAUCCCCCAGAGAGGGCCCAGCCCAGCCCCAGGCUGGGCGCGUACAAAAGGCGACUUGUUCUUCCUCGGGAUGCCUGCGCCUUCUCAAACAUACCUACAGCCGGACUCCGGGGACUGCUACACCCACACAGCGGCACAAAGCCUGACAGAGUGGGGAGAGGGGGGCUUUCGUUGGCCAGCCCUUGGCCAGCCCUAAAGGAUACAUCAGUCAACACAGGCUUGGAGCCUGUCAGAGCUAGAAGGUGCCUUAGGGAGUCACUAAUCUGGCCUCCUCCGCUCAGCAGGAAGAAACAGAGACCCACAGAGGGAAAGCAGCUUGCCCAGUCACACAGCCGAAGUGCUGGUUCCAGCUUAUUCCUCCUUUACACUCCUUCUCUGGCAGUCUUCUAUGGGUUGGAGUUGGAAGAAGCAGACAGUCAACCCAGAAAGGCCUCAGUGAAGCAGAGAGAGGUGGGUCAUGACUAGGUAGGAGGGAAGUCUCUCCCACAGAGGUGAUGGGAACUGCCCAGUUCAUUCAGAAAUGAGCACCUGGCAGCCCUGCAACAAGUCACAUAAAUUGAUCAAAUCCAGACUUUGCCAAAAUGAUGUGGUGGACAAUCAAACCUGCUCCUGCCCCCAUCCCAGGGCACCACAGUAAUGCAUGCCCAAGCCAAAGGAAAGGUUACUCUGUUCCCUGUGCCCAGGCUUCAGUGCACAGUCUCUCUGACUCCUGGGCAGCCUUCUCUUCUAUUAUUUAAACAGAUGUCAGCCAGGAUGUCUCUGGAGGAUGAGUGGAAUUCUCCUGAGUGUUUGUAUUUCAACUCCAUUUUGCAGAAAAGCAAACUGAGGCUCACAGAGGCCUGAUAAUUUGUUUACACAGAUAACAAAGGGAACCUUAAGCUCCUUCUAGUACACCAGGGUCUUUCCCUAUGGACAAGGAAGGCCAAUUAAACAGAAAACAGGGAGAACUAGGGGAGGUGGGGCAGGGAGAGGCUGGGGAUAAAACAGGCCAAGGCUGACCUCCUGGGCUAAGGUGGAGUUUAGACAGAGGCAUUUGAAUUUGAAUCUGGGUAUCUGGCAGUGGUAGAGUGAAAGGUCAGCAAGGAACUGGGAGGGAGAGGAAAGCAGAAUUCCACCAGCCUCAAGCCUGCCUGGGCCAUACCCCAGGGAGCCAGGCCAGGGCUCUCUGCCAGUAACACCCCCCCCACACCCCUGUUAGAACAACAGUGGGAGCAUUGUGAGGGGACUGGACCCCCUCCCUGGGCCUCGAUUUCCCCAUCUGUACUAAGAGCUGGCCUGGCCGGAAGAGCUUCCAAGGGCCCUACCGACUUUAUUUAUUUAUUUUGGCAGUACUGGGAAGUGAAUCCAGUGCCUUGUGCAUGCUAGCCAAGUGCUGAGUUUCUUCUUUUUAUUUUUUAAGCAGGGGUUCAGUGAGUUGUCUGGGCUGGUCUCAAAACUGUUUUGUUCUUGCCUCAGCCUCCUAAGUGGCUGGGAUUACAGGUGUAUGACACCUGUGUGCCUUGCCCUUCCCACCUUAACAUACUCUAAUCAGUCCUAGUUCUCAGCUCAGUGCCUAUUUAAGAGUUCUCUCUGCUGAUGUGAAGGUAGCUGACAGUAACAACAGUACAUAUGCAUUUAAUGAGGCACUACUUACCUUGGGAAGCCACAUUUCACAGGGGUGUUGGAGGGUAAGGUGAUUCAACUACUUUGAGGGAGGGCUGUCUACUCUGAAUGGAACAAGUGCUCUAUGUACCACCCUUAUUGUGGGCAGACACUAUAUUAGUUGUCUCAAACUCGUGAUUUUAAGCCCCACAACAAGGCCAAGGCCUAUUGUUAUCUAGUUUUUCAUGAGGAAAAGGAAACAGGAGUGAAGGGACUUGCCCAAGGUCACACAGCCAAUAAGCAGCACAGAAGGCAUGCCAAUUAGGCCUAUCUCCACUGCUUUUAUUUAACUUAGUGAGGGUGCGCUGGAUGGGAGCAGGAAAUGGAAUUAAACAGGGGCCAUGUACAGGGGGAUAAAGGGUCCACCCCAGGCAGGGGAGAUCUACCUGCUGAGUUGCCAAACAGUUGGUUCAUCAUUCAGCAGAGUACCAAAUGGUGCCGGAACGCAACUAAGUUGUUGGAAAGCAUCCCUUUCUCUCUCCCACAAAGGGCAGAACAGGCCUCUUUCCCUCCCCUACCCCACAGUGCCAGGUGUGAGCCCUGAGAGAUCACUUACCUAUUCCCCUGGGCCUCAGGGCUCCGGUAAAAAGAAGCCCCUGCCUCCAAGGGGUCCUUUUCUGGAAUCCCCCACCUGCAAGGUGCAGAGCCGCCCCCAAAGAAAGCUGCCUCCGCCAUUGGUAAAAUUAUCCAGGAUUUUUCUAGCAUGUCUGCGUGCCCCUCAGUGGCCGGACAACUGAGGGCAGAGAGGGACUGAGUAAGGCUGCCUCACUUCCCUCCUAGAAGCCCUCAGACGCCUUGAUUCUGAUUCGAGCAGGCGGUGCUGCUCUGCCGGUCCAGCUGGACUCCAAGGGACUAGGACAGUUAGCCUCUGAGUUUUGCCCCUACCGCCCCUCCGGCUACCUGGCCUCCCCCCAGAUCCGUGCCACCCCGACCCCUCCCAGAGGAGCCCGCAGGGCCUCUGACUCCUGGAGGAGGUGACGAGACGAGAGGGAAACCAGGCGGCUGGGGGAGGGGCGUUGCCUGCACCUGGCCCCUCUCGCCGCCCAGGCCGGGAGAGGCGGGACUGGACCCCCGCCAGACCUGAAAAGGCGGCGGGUGGCGGGAUGGGGGGGGGCUCCCGUCUCGCCCGCAGCCUGGGUCCGGGUGCGGAGAUUUCCCCCACCACCCUCGCCGCGGAGGCGCCCCCUAGGGUCAGGCGCCUGGCCGCCCCUUCCCGAGCCGUGCUCGGC
rnacentral:lncRNA from 1 species